rnacentral:lncRNA from 1 species
GGGGCCCAUAGGCUGGUGCAGGUCAACGACAGUGUGGAUCAGGCCCGGUAGCACACUGGCACUGGAUCAGCAAUGCACUGGGCUGGCCCAAACAGACGAGCAUGGCCCACAUACGCCCAGGCCCAUAGAGGUAUCGCGGUCCACCGUGGACCAUAUGGUUUGGCAUGGUCUACCAGUUGCAUGUGGAUCGGAUGGUGGAGAUUCAUCCAACAUGCAAUCUGAUGGCCUGGCAGAGUGCGCAAUCUAAUAGCCGAGAGAGCCAUCGGUCAGGAUCGGAUGGUUGAGACUCGAUCUGGGUUUGAACUAGAGAUUAGAGGUGCGAUCCAAUGGUUCUGAUGUGAUUUGGAUGCAAUUAGAUGGUCCAAAUUGAAUUCGAGCAUGAUCUAGACACAAUAUGCAUGAUCGGAUGGCUCUGGUUCGAACCGAUCAUGAUCAAACGAUCCAAAAUUGAUCUAGGAUUUAUUUUGGAUUCAGUAUCCUAGUGUAAUAAUGUUUUGAUGAUUCUGGAGCCUAUAUAGCUCUGAUUAAUAAACUGUUUGUUACGUUG